rnacentral:rRNA from 1 species
GACGAACGCUGGCGGCGUGCUUAACACAUGCAAGUCGAACGAUGAAGCUGGAGCUUGCUCCGGUGGAUUAGUGGCGAACGGGUGAGUAACACGUGAGCAAUCGGCACUUGACUCUAGGAUAACUGCGGGAACCUGUAGCUAAUACCGGAUACGAAAUUUAGAGUCAUCUCGCGAUCUGGAAAGAAUGUCGGUAAAGCAUGUGCUCGCGGCCUAUAAGCUUGUUGGCGAGGUAAUGGCUCACCAAGGCGACGACGGGUAGCCAGCCUGAGAGGGUGACCGGCCACACUCGGACUGAGACACGGCCCAGACUCAUACGGGAGGCAGGAGUGGGGAAUAUUGGACGAUGGGCGAAAGCCUGAUGCAGCAACGCCGCGUGAGGGAUGAAGGCUUUCGGGUUGUAAACCUCUUUUAGUAGGGAAGAAGCGAAAGUGACGAUACCUACAGAAAAAGCACCGGCUAACUACGUGCCAGCAGCCGCGGUAA